GACAGAGGAUGCAAGCGUUAUCCGGAAUGAUUGGGCGUAAAGCGUCCGCAGGUGGCUAUGUAAGUCUGCUGUUAAAGAGUGAGGCUCAACCUCAUAAGAGCAGUGGAAACUACAUGGCUAGAGUGCGUUCGGGGCAGAGGGAAUUCCUGGUGUAGCGGUGAAAUGCGUAGAGAUCAGGAAGAACACCGGUGGCGAAAGCGCUCUGCUAGGCCGCAACUGACACUCAUGGACGAAAGCUAGGGGAGCGAAUGGA
rnacentral:rRNA from 1 species